GACGGAGGAUGCAAGUGUUAUCCGGAAUCACUGGGCGUAAAGCGUCUGUCGGUGGUUGAACAAGUCAACUGUUAAAUCUUGAAGCUUAACUUUAAAAAUGCAGUCGAAACUGUUUAACUAGAGUAUAGUAGAGGUAAAGGGAAUUUCCAGUGGAGCGGUGAAAUGCGUAGAUAUUGGGAAGAACACCGAUGGCGAAGGCACUUUACUUGGCUAUUACUGACACUCAGAGACGAAAGCUAGGGUAGCAAAUGGG
rnacentral:rRNA from 1 species